AUUGAACGCUGGCGGCAGGCCUAACACAUGCAAGUCGAGCGGAUGAAGGGAGCUUGCUCCUGGAUUCAGCGGCGGACGGGUGAGUAAUGCAUAGGAAUCUGCCUGGUAGUGGGGGAUAACGUCCGGAAACGGGCGCUAAUACCGCAUACGACCUGAGGGUGAAAGUGGGGGAUCUUUGGACCUCACGCUAUCAGAUGAGACUAGGUCGGAUUAGCUAGUUGGUGGGGUAAAGGCCUACCAAGGCGACGAUCCGUAACUGGUCUGAGAGGAUGAUCAGUCACACUGGAACUGAGACACGGUCCAGACUCCUACGGGAGGCAGCAGUGGGGAAUAUUGGGCAAUGGGCGAAAGCCUGAUCCAGCCAUGCCGCGUGUGUGAAGAAGGUCUUCGGAUUGUAAAGCACUUUAAGUUGGGAGGAAGGGCAGUAAGUUAAUACCUUGCUGUUUUGACGUUACCAACAGAAUAAGCACCGGCUAACUUCGUG
rnacentral:rRNA from 1 species